CGAAGUCAUUGAAAGAGAGGUGUAUUCGACUUCCCGGGUCGGAGAUGAUAGUCCAGAUACAAUUUAAAUUAUUUCCAUACCCUUCCGGGUAAUCUGGAGAAAGAACUGUUCCCAUCGGUGCAGUAAAGUUGGAGAGACAAGGAACUGAUCCUGACCAGGACAUGAGGAAUUGUUUAUUGCCUGUAUGUUCGUGCAGUAGACAAAGAAACAAAAUGAGGAAGAGGUGCUGCAAUAAAUGAAGGGAAGUCCGAAGCAACAGGCAGAGAACUCAGAAUGCAUUCAUUCGGUGUGUUGAGACUAAUAUUGGAAAUAUAGGUUUAUAUAGCAAUGGCUGAAAUUUGCAGAAACAGGG